rnacentral:rRNA from 1 species
UGUGUAUCAGUACAUGGCAUAUCAAUAAGCGGAGGAAAAGAAACUAACUAGGAUUCCCUCAGUAACGGCGAGUGAAGCGGGAAGAGCUCAAAUUUGAAAUCUUCAAGGUUCUACCUUGACGAAUUGUAGUUUAAAGAAGUGUUUUCUGUUGGAGUUUUGGUAAAAGUUCUUUGGAAUAGGACAUCAUAGAGGGUGAGAAUCCCGUAUUUGACCAUUAUUUCCAAUUUUGUGAUACACUUUCAAAGAGUCGGAUUGUUUGGGAAUGCAGUCCAAAAUGGGUGGUAAAUUUCAUCUAAAGCUAAAUACUGGCGAGAGACCGAUAGCGAACAAGUACCGUGAGGGAAAGAUGAAAAGAACUUUGAAAAGAGAGUUAAACAGUACGUGAAAUUGUCAAAAGGGAAGCGUUUGACACCAGUGUUGUUUUCUCGAAAAUCAAUUAAAAAUGGCGGGAUUUUGUGUUGUAUUGACUUUAUCAGCUUUCUGCACUUUUUUCCUGUCUUUUUUAAUGCACUUUUCGUUUAACAAGUCAACAUCAAUUUCUUUUGUUGUAAAAGAGUCAUCGGAAGGUGGCUUUCUUUUCGGAGAAAGUGUUUAUAGCCUUUGACUUCUGCAAUCGGAGAGAUUGAGGUCUGCAGCGUAGAUCCUUCGGGGUUAGAUACAUUUGUGCUAAGCUAUAGCCUUUCAUAGACAACAUGUUGACUAUGAUCAGUCAUGUAGCUUACUCGCUUAUGCUAUUUUACCUACGCUUAGGAUGUUGACUGAUAUGUAGUCGUA